UUAUUUUUGAAUUUUUAUUUAAUUUAUUUAUAAGGUUCCAACGAUUUUGAAAUUUUUUUUUUCUAAAAAUAUAUCUUAGUAGAAGAAAUCAAAUCGAAUAGGUACUUGUUUUGGAGCUAUCACGAAUUUUGAUUUGUUACUUUAACUUUUUGGGCUAGUGUAUAAAAACAACUCAGGUUAAAAGCUAACGCUCGGUUAAAUUUUAUGGUUAUGAAAGUCAACUAUUAAAUCUAGCUAAGCGUUAGCCUUGUACCUGAGUAUUAAAUUGUUUAAUGGUAGGGUGAAAUAUGUAUAAUUCAGUUAACUAUUAAAGUCAGCCUUAAAUUUAAAUUUUGGUUAGGGCUGUAGAAAAUAAAAUUUACUAAUGAUAAGUUUUUGUGAAUAAAAAUUCUUAUUCAGAAUUCUUUGGCGCAAUAGUAGGUAAAUGUAUAAGAGUGGUCGAAUUUUCGGUAUUCGGCCGAAUCAUUAUUUGCAGUAUCUCUAGUUGGUACCGUUAAAAAAUUUCAAUUUCCCCUCCUUGGAAUCAAAAAUAAACAAAAGGUUUGAGCCAAAUCGACUUAUUGGUUUGAGCUCUUACCUGAUUUACAAUAUAACGUUGAGUUUUCCCGAGAGAUGACAAACUUUUGUUCUAUAACAGAGAGGGAUACUAUUCCCUGAAUGUUCUAAUUGUAAUGUGCAUUAUGUAAAAUUAAUAGAGAGUAGAUUAAAAUUUCUAUAUUUCUUUAGAUUUGCGAUUAUAAAAUGUGGAUUCGCGGUUUAAAGCUAGUUUCCAAGGGGCAAAUCACGAUUCCCAUAUAUGGAAUAUCAGUCUACAAAGAUCUCAUUUUAAACAAAGAUACGAAAACGGUGUCAGAGACGAAUAUGUAUUAGCAAUAGGAGAUGCAGGUUAUCCAUUAGAACCUUGGUUGAUGACUCCAUUUAGGACUCCGCCACCAAAUAGUCCUCAAAUGCGUUACAACAAAUCCCACUCUAGAGCCCGAAAUGUAGUCGAAAGAACAAUUGGUUUACUCAAAAACCGAUUCCGAUGUUUGUUAGCAGCUCGACAACUGCAUUACACUCCAGAAAAAGCAGUCCAAAUUUUCAACGUAUGUUGUGCAUUGCAUAACAUAUGCCUCUAUUUUAAAAAUGACAUGAACUUUGAUGAAAGGAGCGAUCAAGAGAACAUCCAAGAAGAAAAUGAUGACUACUAUACUCAGCGAUCACAAUACAACACUCAAGCUGUUAACGCUAGAAAUGAAAUACUCAACGAUUAUUUUUCAUAAACUUUUAUUUAAAAAAAAAAAAAACAUUUCAAAAUACUUAAAAAUUCACA